rfam:Marine metagenome 1096626699307, whole genome shotgun sequence.
UGACCCACCUGCGGUGAGGCCCCCACCCGCUGGGCGCCCCCUGGCACUCCUUCCCCGGUGCCAGGACGCGCAAAGCGGGCGGGGACCUGACCGGGACGGUGACUAUCG